AUUGAACGCUGGCGGCAUGCUUUACACAUGCAAGUCGAGCGGCAGCGCGGGGCAACCUGGCGGCGCGCGGCGAACGGGUGAGGAACACAUCGGAACGUACCCGCGAGUGGGGGAUAACGCCACGAAAGCGGCGCUAAUACCGCAUAUUCUCUUUGGCGGAAAGUGGGGGACCGCAAGGCCUCACGCUCACGGAGCGGCCGAUGUCCGAUUAGCUAGUUGGUGGGGUAAAGGCUGACCAAGGCGACGAUCGGUAGCUGGGCUGAGAGGAUGAUCAGCCACACUGGGACUGAGAGACGGCCCAGACUCCUACGGGAGGCAGCAGUGGGGAAUUUUGGACGAUGGGGGCAACCCUGAUCCAGCCAUGCCGCGUGCGGGAAGAAGGCCUUCGGGUUGUAAACCGCUUUUAGCCGGGAAGAAAAGGCGAUUCCUAAUAGGGGUCGUUCUUGACGGUACCGGCGGAAUAAGCACCGGCUAACUACGUGCCAGCAGCCGCGGUAA
rnacentral:rRNA from 1 species